ACUGACGCCUGCCCGGUGCCGGAAGGUUAAGAGGAUCCGUCAGCCUUCGGGUGAAGCGGUGAAUUCAAGCCCCGGUAAACGGCGGUGGUAACUAUAACCAUCCUAAGGUAGCGAAAUUCCUUGUCGGGUAAGUUCCGACCUGCACGAAUGGCGUAACGACUUCCCCACUGUCUCGACCAGGAGCUCGGCGAAAUUGCAGUACGAGUAAAGAUGCUCGUUAAGCGCAGAAGGACGAAAAGACCCCGGGACCUUUACUAUACCUUGGUAUUGGCAUUCGGUGUGGAUUGUGUAGCAUAGGCGGGAGGCCGAGAGGCGCGGUCGCCAGAUCGCGCGGAGCCGUAAGGUGAAAUACCGCUCUGUUCGCAUUGGAUGUCUAACCUCGAACAGUCAUCCUGUUCAGGGACAGUGCCUGGCGGGUAGUUUAACUGGGGCGGUUGCCUCCCAAAGAGUAACGGAGGCGCCCAAAGGUCCGCUCAGCCCGGUUGGCAAUCGGGUGGCGAGUGCAAGUGCACAAGCGGGCUUGACUGCGAGGACGACGGUCCGAGCAGGGACGAAAGUCGGGACUAGUGAUCCGGUGCCGGUGUACGGACGCGGCAUCGCUCAACGGAUAAAAGGUACCCCGGGGAUAACAGGCUGAUCAUUCCCAAGAGUCCAUAUCGACGGGAUGGUUUGGCACCUCGAUGUCGGCUCGUCGCAUCCUGGGGCUGGAGCAGGUCCCAAGGGUUCGGCUGUUCGCCGAUUAAAGCGGCACGCGAGCUGGGUUCAGAACGUCGUGAGACAGUUUGGUCUCUAUCCUCUGCGCUCGUUGGAAUGCUGAGGAGGCCUGCCCAUAGUACGAGAGGACCUGGGUGGACGAACCUCUGGUAUGCCGGUUGUCACGCCAGUGGCACGGCCGGUUGGCUACGUUCGGAAGGGAUAACCGCUGAAAGCAUCUAAGCGGGAAGCCUGCUCCAAGAUAAGCAUUCCGUGGAACCUUCGAGUUCCUGUAGUCCCCAUGCAGAACACGUGGUCGAUAGGCCGGACGUGGAAGCCCCGCGAGGGGUGGAGCCGACCGGUACUAACGGACGAAAGGCAACACUCC
rnacentral:rRNA from 1 species